UACAGAGGGUGCAAGCGUUAAUCGGAAUGACUGGGCGUAAAGGGCGCGUAGGCGGUUAGAUAAGUUAGAUGUGAAAUCCCUGGGCUUAACCUAGGAACUGCAUUUGAUACUGUUUAACUAGAGUAGGGUAGAGGGAAGUGGAAUUUCCGGUGUAGCGGUGAAAUGCGUAGAUAUCGGAAGGAACACCAGUGGCGAAGGCGGCUUCCUGGACCUAUACUGACGCUGAGGCGCGAAAGCGUGGGGAGCAAAC
rnacentral:rRNA from 1 species